AUUGAACGCUGGCGGCAGGCCUAACACAUGCCAGUCGAGCGGAUGAAGGGAGCUUGCUCCUGGAUUCAGCGGCGGACGGGUGAGUAAUGCCUAGGAAUCUGCCUGGUAGUGGGGGAUAACGUCCGGAAACGGGCGCUAAUACCGCAUACGUCCUGAGGGAGAAAGUGGGGGAUCUUCGGACCUCACGCUAUCAGAUGAGCCUAGGUCGGAUUAGCUAGUUGGUGGGGUAAAGGCCUACCAAGGCGACGAUCCGUAACUGGUCUGAGAGGAUGAUCAGUCACACUGGAACUGAGACACGGUCCAGACUCCUACGGGAGGCAGCAGCGGGGAAUAUUGGACAAUGGGCGAAAGCCUGAUCCAGCCAUGCCGCGUGUGUGAAGAAGGUCUUCGGAUUGUAAAGCACUUUAAGUUGGGAGGAAGGGCAGUAAGUUAAUACCUUGCUGUUUUGACGUUACCAACAGAAUAAGCACCGGCUAACUUCGUG
rnacentral:rRNA from 1 species